rnacentral:rRNA from 1 species
AACAAACGCUGGCGGCGUACCUAAUACGUGCAAGUCGAACGGGGAAAGCUUUCGGGUGAGUACUAGUGGCGCACGGGUGAGGAACGCGUGGAUAAUCUGCCUUAGAGUGGGGGAUAACUAGUCGAAAGAUUAGCUAAUACCGCAUAAGACCACAGGAGCUGCGGCUCUAGGGGUCAAAGGUUUUUCGCUCUAAGAUGAGUCCGCGUAAGAUUAGCUAGUUGGUGAGGUAACGGCUCACCAAGGCGACGAUCUUUAACUGGUCUGCGAGGAUGAUCAGUCACACUGGAACUGAGACGCGGUCCAGACUCCUACGGGAUGCAGCAGUAGGGAAUAUUGCACAAUGGAGGAAACUCUGAUGCAGCGACGCCGCGUGAGUGAUGAAGGCCUUCGGGUCGUAAAGCUCUGUCGCAGGGGAAUAACACAAUGAAUGUACCCUGUAAGAAAGGAUCGGCUAACUUCGUGCCAGCAGCCGCGGUAACAC